UUUUAUACAUUUACAUUUUAUACCAUAUUGUGACUAUGGAAUCAAAAUGACCAUAAGAAAUUAAAUUAAUGAUUCAUUUGUUUCUGUAUUUUUCCGUAAUUUUACAAAUUACCUAAGUUAUCAAAUACUCUCCCUAAUUAUAUAUUAUAUUGUUUAAGAUUAAAACGGUUUUGUUCUUAUUCUCACUGCCUCUCAUACAGAAGCUAAUAACUAGAAGUUUUGCACAUUGGCCAAACAGAUUCAACAAAAAAAUGCAUGAUGCCGAAUAUGAAAGUGAUGAGUAUGUAACUGAUGACGACUAUGAAAGUGAUGUCGAGUAUGAAAAUAUUGAAGAUGAUGACUUUAAUUUCUCGCCACCUCAGAAUCCAGACAACUUCAAUAUCAACCGAAUGCAUUACACACCACUGCUAGGCGAGAUCCCUCGACCCGAUGUGGUAUUUCGGAUUUUAGCAGAAAUUCCCCGUACCGAUGGUGGCAUGUAUAUAUUAUACGAAGAGUUAUCGCCUACGGAAGAAGAACUAGAAGCUUAUAAACAACAUCUAAUUUUAGACGAUUCGCUUUCAUGUGAAAAAGUAUUAUGCAUGAGGACCCAAAACAGAGAAAAGCAAGUGAGGAUUAAACGGAGGCAGCGGUUUGCAAAUGUCACUAGACAGUUAUUUGCGGAAGAUAAAAUUAUAUCAAAAUAACGAAAAUUUACUAAUAUUAUGCCAAAUAAUUGCUGCAGAUAGUUAUUAUUGUGUUAUAAGAAUUAUUUAUUAUUGUUUUUAAAUAAAUAUGUAUCUAGUGUA